rnacentral:rRNA from 1 species
CGCCCUUCAGAGGGGGACAACAGUUGGAAACGACUGCUAAUACCGCAUACGAUCUAAUCUCGGCAUCGAGGAUAGAUGAAAGGUGGCCUCUAUUUAUAAGCUAUCACUGAAGGAGGGGAUUGCGUCUGAUUAGCUAGUUGGAGGGGUAACGGCCCACCAAGGCGAUGAUCAGUAGCCGGUCUGAGAGGAUGAACGGCCACAUUGGGACUGAGACACGGCCCAG